rnacentral:lncRNA from 1 species
UGACCAACCUAUAUCCUUUAAGAUAACCCUCUCGCUUCAAAAUUUUCAGAUUUAAUUUGACAUUGAAGUUCUUACGAUGUUAAUCCUUUAUCAAUUGGUAGAAUACAAUAUAAUGUUUGAACAUGAAGAGAUAUUAUUCAUGGUGGUGUUUAUUUGUGUAUUUGAUUUCAAGCACUUCAAAUUAGCACUUUAAGGAUGUUCACCUCUGAAGAGCCA